rnacentral:rRNA from 1 species
CACGAACCGUACGAACGUUAUUCGGAAUUACUGGGCUUAAAGGGUGCGUAGGCGGCUUGGAAAGUUGGGUGUGAAAGCCCUCGGCUCAACCGAGGAACUGCGCUCAAAACUACCAAGCUUGAGGAAGACAGAGGUGAGUGGAACUUAGGGUGGAGCGGUGAAAUGCGUUGAUAUCCUAAGGAACACCAGUGGCGAAAGCGACUCACUGGGUCUUUUCUGACGCUGAGGCACGAAAGCUAGGGGAGCGAACGGG